rnacentral:tRNA from 1 species
GCCUGGGGGGCUCAGUCGGUGAAGCGUCUGACUUCAGCUCAGGUCGCGAUCUCACGGUCUGCGAGUUCGAGCCCCGCGUCGGGCU